GCAGAGUACGUGAAACCGCUUAGGGGUUAAGCCUGAUGAACCUGAAUAUCCGAAUUGAGAAAUUCAAUACUGUUUUAGUUGCUUAUCUAAACCAUAAGUAAUCGAUGGUAUGCACUUUUCUCAUAGUAGGACAUUGCGAUCCAUUAGUAGUCUCUUUGAGACGGUUUAUCAAACGGCCUGCGUAGUCAGUUUAGCCUAUCUGCAAUACUUGUUAUUGUAUGGUUAAUGCUAUUGCGGUGACCUGGUAAACAGCUGAUGGAGCUUAACAAUCAUGCCACCAUGCAAAUGUAUCACGGUGCGAUUAUAUUUAUAUUUUCGUAUGCAGUGAUCGCAUGUAUUUGAUUAGCAAUGCGAUAGAUUUGGGAUACCUUCAGGACCCGUCUUGAAACACGGACCAAGAAGUCUAACAUGUGUGUAAGUCAUUGGGUAUUUUGAUGAAACCUAAAGGCGAAAUUAAAAUAACUAAUAUGGGAUUACAAGCAAUCUACAAUGAUUGUUUCUCCAUCCCGGGGCGUUCUAUAUGAACAUGGUUCAAGCAAUUGGACCCUCUGUUCGAGAGCGUACCUUGAACAUACAUGCUGUGACCCGA
rnacentral:rRNA from 1 species